CCGUCUUUAGCUCAGUUGGAAGAGCAUCAGACUGUAACGGAAACCUGCCUGGCUCAAACAGGCGUUGAGUCACGUGACGACAUCUGGGUGUCGCCUGUUCAAUCCAGGCAAGACGGA